rnacentral:rRNA from 1 species
UACAGAGGUCUCAAGCGUUGUUCGGAUUCAUUGGGCGUAAAGCGCGUGUAGGCGGCUUUGCAAGUCGGGUGUGAAAUCCCUCAGCUCAACUGAGGAAGUGCGCCCGAAACUGCAGAGCUUGAGUACCGGAGAGGAUGGCGGAAUUCCCGAAGUAGAGGUGAAAUUCGUAGAUAUCGGGAGGAACACCGGUGGCGAAGGCGGCCAUCUGGACGGAUACUGACGCUGAGACGCGAAAGCGUGGGGAGCAAACAGG